rnacentral:rRNA from 1 species
CCUACGGGUGGCAGCAGUAGGGAAUCUUCCGCAAUGGACGAAAGUCUGACGGAGCAACGCCGCGUGAGUGAAGAAGGUUUUCGGAUCGUAAAACUCUGUUGUUAAAGAAGAACAAGGAUGAGAGUAACUGCUCAUCCCCUGACGGUAUUUAACCAGAAAGCCACGGCUAACUACGUGCCUGCAGCCGCGGUAAUACGUAGGUGGCAAGCUUUGUCCGGAUUUAUUGGGCGUAAAGCGAGCGCAGGCGGUUCGUUAAGGCUGAUGUGAAAGACACCGGCUCAACCGGGGGGGGUCAUUGGACACUGGAGAACGUGAGUGCAGAAGGGGAGAGUGGAAUUCCACGUGUAGCGGUGAAAUGCGUAGAUAUGUGGAGGAACACCAGUGGCGAAGGCGACUCUCUGGUCUGUAACUGACGCUGAGGCUCGAAAGCGUGGGGAGCAAACAGGAUUAGAUACCCCUGUAGUC